rnacentral:rRNA from 1 species
AGGGUUUGAUUCUGGCUCAGGAUGAACGCUGGCGGCGUGCUUAACACAUGCAAGUCGAGCGAAGCAGUUAAGUUGAUUUCUUCGGAUUGAUUCUUAACUGACUGAGCGGCGGACGGGUGAGUAACGCGUGGGUGACCUGCCCCAUACCGGGGGAUAACAGCUGGAAACGGCUGCUAAUACCGCAUAAGCGCACGGAGCUGCAUGGCUCGGUGUGAAAAACUCCGGUGGUAUGGGAUGGGCCCGCGUCUGAUUAGGCAGUUGGCGGGGUAACGGCCCACCAAACCGACGAUCAGUAGCCGGCCUGAGAGGGCGACCGGCCACAUUGGGACUGAGACACGGCCCAA